rnacentral:rRNA from 1 species
CUGCCGGCGUGCUAACACAUGCAAGUCGAACGAUGAUGCCCAGCUUUGCUGGGUGGAUUAGUGGCGAACGGGUGAGUAACACGUGAGUAACCUGCCCCUUGACUUCAGGGAUAACUCCGGGAAACCGGGGCUAAUACCGGAUAUGAGCUACCUUCGCAUGGGGGUGGUUGGAAAGUUUUUCGGUCAGGGAUGGGCUCGCGGCCUAUCAGCUUGUUGGUGGGGUGAUGGCCUACCAAGGCGACGACGGGUAGCCGGCCUGAGAGGGCGACCGGCCACACUGGGACUGAGACACGGCCCAGACUCCUACGGGAGGCAGCAGUGGGGAAUAUUGCACAAUGGGCGAAAGCCUGAUGCAGCGACGCCGCGUGAGGGAUGAAGGCCUUCGGGUUGUAAACCUCUUUCAGCAGGGAAGAAGCGCAAGUGACGGUACCUGCAGAAGAAGCGCCGGCUAACUACGUGCCAGCAGCCGCGGUAAUACGUAGGGCGCAAGCGUUGUCCGGAAUUAUUGGGCGUAAAGAGCUCGUAGGCGGUUUGUCGCGUCUGGUGUGAAAACUCGAGGCUCAACCUCGAGCUUGCAUCGGGUACGGGCAGACUAGAGUGCGGUAGGGGAGACUGGAAUUCCUGGUGUAGCGGUGGAAUGCGCAGAUAUCAGGAGGAACACCGAUGGCGAAGGCAGGUCUCUGGGCCGCAACUGACGCUGAGGAGCGAAAGCAUGGGGAGCGAACAGGAUUAGAUACCCUGGUAGUCCAUGCCGUAAACGUUGGGCACUAGGUGUGGGGCUCAUUCCACGAGUUCCGUGCCGCAGCAAACGCAAAA